rnacentral:rRNA from 1 species
CAACUAUACUGUGAAACUGCGAAUGGCUCAUUAAAUCAGUUAUCGUUUAUUUGAUCAUAACCUACUACAUGGAAUACCUGUGGAAAAUCUAGAGCUAAUACAUGCUAAAGCCCCAACUUCGGAAGGGGUGUGUUUAUUAGAUAAAAAGCCAAUGCCCUUCGGGGCUCCUUGGUGAUUCAUGAUAACCUUUCUGAUCGCAAAUGGCCUCCGCGCCGGCGACGGUUCAUUCAAAUUUCUGCCCUAUCAACUUUCGAUGGUACGGUAGUGGCCUACCAUGGUGUCAACGGGUAACGGGGAAUUAGGGUUCGAUUCCGGAGAGGGAGCCUGAGAAACGGCUACCACAUCCAAGGAAGGCAGCAGGCGCGCAAAUUACACAAUGUCGACUCGACGAUGUAGUGACAAUAAAUACUGAUACAGGGCUCUUUUGGGUCUUGUAAUUGGAAUGAGUACAAUUUAAACCUCUUAACGAGGAACAAUUAGAGGGCAAGUCUGGUGCCAGCAGCCGCGGUAAUUCCAGCUCUAAUAGCGUAUAUUAAAGUUGUUGCAGUUAAAAAGCUCGUAGUUGAACCUUUGGCUUGGCGAGCACGUCCGCCUCACCGCGUGCACGUGACCCGCCGAGCCUUUUCUUCUGGAGAACCGCAUGCCCUUCACUGGGUGUGUUGGGGACCAGGACUUUUACUUUGAAAAAAUUAGAGUGUUCAAAGCAGGCCUUUGCUCGAAUACGUUAGCAUGGAAUAAUGGAAUAGGACGUGCGGUCCUAUUUUGUUGGUUUCUAGGACCGCCGUAAUGAUUAAUAGGGACAGUCGGGGGCAUCAGUAUUCAAUUGUCAGAGGUGAAAUUCUUGGAUUUAUUGAAGACUAACUACUGCGAAAGCAUUUGCCAAGGAUGUUUUCAUUAAUCAGUGAACGAAAGUUAGGGGAUCGAAGACGAUCAGAUACCGUCGUAGUCUUAACCAUAAACUAUGCCAGCUGGGGAUCGGACGGUGUUUCUAUUGUGACCCGUUCGGCACCCUACGAGAAAUCAAAGCGUUUGGGUUCUGGGGGGAGUAUGGUCGC